AUUGAACGCUGGCGGCAUGCCUUACACAUGCAAGUCGAACGGUAACAGGUUAAGCUGACGAGCGGCGAACGGGUGAGUAAUGUAUCGGAACGUGCCCAGUCGUGGGGGAUAACUACUCGAAAGAGUGGCUAAUACCGCAUACGACCUGAGGGUGAAAGCGGGGGACCGUAAGGCCUCGCGCGAUUGGAGCGGCCGAUAUCAGAUUAGCUAGUUGGUGGGGUAAAGGCCCACCAAGGCGACGAUCUGUAGCUGGUCUGAGAGGACGACCAGCCACACUGGGACUGAGACACGGCCCAGACUCCUACGGGAGGCAGCAGUGGGGAAUUUUGGACAAUGGACGCAAGUCUGAUCUAGCCAUGCCGCGUGCGGGAAGAAGGCCUUCGGGUUGUAAACCGCUUUUGUCAGGGAAGAAACGAGUUUCUCUAAUACAGAGACUUAAUGACGGUACCUGAAGAAUAAGCACCGGCUAACUACGUGCCAGCAGCCGCAGUAACAC
rnacentral:rRNA from 1 species